GGGCCAGAGACGCGGCACAGCUCAAAUUUGAAASCUAGCCUUCKGGUUCSCAUUGUAAUUUGUAGARGAUGAUUUGGGGAAGCCGCCUGUCUAAGUUCCUUGGAACAGGACGUCAUAGAGGGUGAGAAUCCCGUAUGUGACAGGAAAUGGCACCCUAUGUAAAUCUCCUUCGACGAGUCGAGUUGUUUGGGAAUGCAGCUCUAAAUGGGAGGUAAAUUUCUUCUAAAGCUAAAUAUUGGCGAGAGACCGAUAGCGCACAAGUAGAGUGAUCGAAAGAUGAAAAGCACUUUGGAAAGAGAGUUAAAAAGCACGUGAAAUUGUUGAAAGGGAAGCGCUCGCAAUCAGACUUGUUUAAACUGUUCGGCCGGUCUUCUGACCGGUUUACUCAGUUUGGACAGGCCAGCAUCAGUUUCGGCGGCCGGAUAAAGGCUCUGGGAAUGUGGCCUCCACUUCGGUGGAGGUGUUAUAGCCCAGGGUGUAAUACGGCCAGCCGGGACUGAGGUCCGCGCUUCGGCUAGGAUGCUGGCGUAAUGGUUGUAAGCGACCCGUCUUGAAACACGGAAC
rnacentral:rRNA from 1 species